rnacentral:lncRNA from 1 species
GGUCACCCCCAACAUCGUGUCCGCCACGCUCACCAACGCCACCAUCGUCACCGUCGCCCUGCCCACCGCCUCGGUCCUCACCAGCACCGCUGCCGCCGACUGCAAUGCCGCCGUGGUCAUUGCCCGCAACGGCAGCGCCGUCGCCAGCCCUCUGUCGGCCUGCGCCGUCAGCGCCGACGGCCUGAGCCUCACGCUCACCGCCGCCGCCACCUACAAGCCCAUGUCUGGUGACACGGUGGAUGUGGCUGUCAGCCAGACCGUGCUGCGUGCCGGCAGUGCCACCGGCCCGGCCUACGUGCCCCGCCCCUCGCCCGCGCUCAUCACCGUGCCCUCGCCCCCGCCCUCGCCUCCCCCGUCGCCCGCGCCCUCGCCUCCCCCCUCGCCGCCGCUGUCGACCGCCAACUACUCGGCCCGCGGUCUGGCCACCGGCCCGCUGUCCUGCAACGUGCUGAUUGGCGACCUCACCGUCACCACCACCUCGGGCAACUUCACGUGAGUAUUUGCUUGGGGAAUAGGGUUGCUUUACUGGAGAGUUGUCCUACUACCGUAUUGCCAUUUUACAGGACGAUGUUGUGCGCAUGUACUUAUCAUCUCUCCCUCCCUCGCUCUUCUUCCCUCCCACAGCGGUAUGGCCAGCUACGCCGGCAAGGACGCCUCCUACAAGGGCUCUUGCAAGGACGCGGUCACCGGCGCCGUGUACACGGACGACACGGUGGCCUCCACGCUGCCCGCCGGCCUGACCGGCCUGGUCCUGUCGCCCGUGACCGCGCUGGCCUCGGUGUGGGACCUGAAGAGCGUGGCCGACCUGGCCAAUACCAACAAGGACUACCUGCGCCUGUUGGGCGUGCCCGUCAACGCCUCCGCCUACGGCACCGCUGUCCAGCUGCUGGCCUACGACUACUACGUCAAGGGCUUUGUGGCGCUGGAGACGCCGGCCGUGGCGGUGCUGAACGUGGAGGGCAUGGUGGCCGCCAACCUGCUCAUGUACACCAAGUUCUUUGACGGCCUGAACGCCUCCGUGGCCGGCCGCGACAUCACCGCCGCACAGGCCCUGGCCGCGGGUCAGUACGCACUGGCGGCCGUCCUGGAGGACAGCUCCGCGCCCAUCAACACCACCGACCCCGCCAGCAUCCUGGCGCUGCUCAACGUCACCUACAGCGUCCUCACCGCCAACGCCACCAGCGCCGGCCGCCGCCUGCUGCAGACGGCGCCCGCCCCGUUCACCCAGCUGCAGGCGCAGGCCACCGCCCUGGCCGCCGCCGCCGCCGGCAGCAACGCGCUGGUGGCUGCCCAGCAGGCCAGGCUGAUUACCGCCAUCAACGCCGGCACCAGCAUCUCGGCGGCCGAACUGACCAACAUCAUCAAUGAGGCCAGCAAGGUCAUUGUCGCGCAGUCGACCGUCAUUGCCACCGCCGCCAGCGGCCUAGGCAGCGGCGCCAUCAGCCCCGCGUCCUUCACCAGCAGCUACACCGGCUCCGCCCUCACCACCCUGGUGGCGCAGCAGCAGCUGGCGGCCACGCCCGGCAGCGAC